rnacentral:piRNA from 1 species
AACCAAGGAGAGAGGAAACUGUAGGGGGUU